CUUCUAGAAUCUCAUUCUUUUCCUGAUUUUCAGUUCUUCCCUCUUUUCAAAACCAUGAUUGUAUAUGACAUAGAAGUCAAAAUUGCUUUCAAAAGGUCUGUGUAAAUUGAGAAUCGAAAUAUUCUUAUGGACAAGAAUGUAUAUGGGGUUCAGUAAAAGUAGUUGUUUUAUUUUUUAUUUUUAAUAAUGUUAGAGUCGAUUUCGGUACGAUAUAAUAUCAACCUCCUCCUAAAUGUUGUGAUUGGAAUUAAAUUUUGUAUGUGGGGACUUGUAUUGAACUAAGCUUAACUUGUUUUAACUAAUUUUAUCUAGAAUUUGCGAUGGAAAUUGUUUUCCCUUCAGUUUAUAAAGCUUGUCAAUUGGAAGAAGGCUUUUACUGGAUAUGGGUUAACAUAGUUUACGUAAUACGUAGCUGUUUAUUCUGUUUUUAUGUACGUACUUUAUUUUACUAUGCGUCUUGCGCACUUUAAUGGUAAUUGUAGUGCUAACUUUCUAUAACUUGUUGGGUCUUUUUGCCUAUACGGAUAUGUUUUGGUUUUAGCAUUUAGUGCGUUCCACAUGUUGUCUUAUCCUCUCAAAUCAAAAUCAAACAAGUUUUUGCUUAUUUGGUUUGCCUGCUCAUGCAUUCCUUUUGUCCUCGAGGACGCAUGGAGGCUGGAUUAGGAAUUGUGCCUAACUUUAUGGGGACAGUCAUGAAGAUGAAUCAGCACAGAGUGCAAUUUCCACCACCCAGUGGCACAGCUUGGGGGCAAGGAGGAUCCACCCUUCCCCCUUCCAACCCAGUCUAGCUUCGACCCUGCCUCAUAGAAAACUAUUUCUUCUUUCAUAAAAAAAGACGAGAUUAAGAUUUUGAGUGGUGAGUUCUAGUACAAUGAAAGCUGAGACCUAUAUCUAUAGUUUUUGGUUUUUGUUUUUCAUCUUAGUUCUUCUCCAACUUGAAGAGUACGGAGGUUUUUUUUUGUAGUUUUAGAGGUGAUUGCCAAAAUUGAUAGCUAGGGGAGUGAAAGUAAUUUAAGUGGUAGUUUGAAGAGGAUUUGUGCAUUUUUCCCUUUACUUUUUAAAAGCUUGAGGGAACUUCUCUCUAAUUUUUAUCCUUAAGUUACUGAUAAAAAAAAAUUUUAUCUUAAGUUGUAUUCAUCGAGUUUUGGGCGAAAAAAUUUUAGUUUUUAUAUGACAAGGAACUACAGACUUUGCAAAUGAAAUAUGCCUUUUACUUGUUUAAACCCAAACCUGCGCAAUGUGUCCCGACCAACGAGAUGCGGCUGCUAGAAACUGUUUGCACCCAAGGGUUUGAAUCUUCGACUUGGGAAGAGCAUACCUUUAAAACCAAGGCCCUUAUCACUCGAGCAAACCCGCAGGGGUUAAGUUUUCUGCGAAAAAAACUUGAUACUCCAUCGUGCUUUUGUUUUGUUAUGGUGGACUUACUUGGAUUGCUUGAUUCCGUGUGUAUGUGCUUCAAGGUUGGGGGCGAUAUGGGUGGUUUACAUGUGGUUUGUGCCAACCUUUGUACCACUUUGUUUCACUGUGGUCUGCUCUCUUCUUUGUUUGUUUACCUCUUUGAAUCCCCAAGGGCAGAAUUUCUCAAGCUUGGAAACUAGGUAGUUCUGUUGCUUUGCCACUUGCCAUCCUUUCUUUCAUCUUUCUUGGAUCCUUAAUUUCCUUUAUUUACACAACUGAUUUGUAUGUGGUCCAACAACUAUACAGAUAUAAAUCUGAAUGCAAAAACUGACACUGGCUAAAUUGCUUUAUGAAGAACUCUCUAAGAAAAAGAGACUGCUAUUGCUGCAUUCCAGUUAGUACGGGACUUCCCCUUUUAUCUUUUGACCAUGGUUUAUUGGAAUAUAAUGUUUCAUAUUGUGAAUAAUCAAUGAUCGGUGAAACGCUUCAAUCUGUACCAGUUUUCAAGGUGGCAAAUCAUCUGCAAUAGUACUUGUGUUGAAGCUCUUUGGGCAUGUGCAAGAGAUGUGGCAAUCUGAAGAUGAUAGCAUGCACAAAAUGUAAAGGAGUAGGAGUUGUCAGAGGUGGACCAUUUGGGUUUAAUCUUGACCAUGAAUUGUACCAAUUGCUUGGAAGUGGUGGGUCAA